CCUACGGGUGGCAGCAGUGAGGAAUAUUGGUCAAUGGCCGGAAGGCUGAACCAGCCAAGCCGCGUGAAGGACGAAGGUGCCAAGCAUUGUAAACUUCUUUUGUCAAGGGACAAAAUCAGGCUCGAGAGCCUGACCGAGGGUACUUGAAGAAAAAGCAUCGGCUAACUCCGUGCCAGCAGCCGCGGUAAUACGGAGGAUGCGAGCGUUAUCCGGAUUUAUUGGGUUUAAAGGGUGCGUAGGCGGACUGUUAAGUCAGCGGUAAAAGCCCGGGGCUCAACCCCGGCGAGCCGUUGAAACUGGCUGUCUUGAGAUGUCGAGAGGUAUGCGGAAUGCGUAGUGUAGCGGUGAAAUGCGUAGAUAUUGCGCAGAACUCCGAGUGCGAAGGCAGUAUACCGGCGGCGAUCUGACGUUGAGGCACGAAAGCGUGGGGAGCGAACAGGAUUAGAUACCCUUGUAGUC
rnacentral:rRNA from 1 species